GAUGAACGCUGGCGGCGUGCCUAAUACAUGCAAGUCGAGCGAACGGACUAGAAGCUUGCUUCCCUGAUGUUAGCGGCGGACGUGUGAGUAACACGUGGAUAACCUACCUAUAAGACUGGGAUAACUUCGUGAAACCGGAGCUCAUACCGUAUUAUAUUUUGAUCCUCAUUGUUCAAAAGUGAAAGAUUGUCUUGCUGUCACUUAUAGCUGCAUCCUCGCUGUAUUAGCUAGUUGGUAAGGUAACGGCUUACCAAGGCAAUGAUGCAUAGCCGACCGGAGAGGGGGAUCGGCCACACGGGAACUGAGCCACGGUCAAGACUCCUACGGGAGGCAGCAGUAGGGAAUCUUCCGCAAUGGGCGAAAGCCUGACGGAGCAACGCGGCGUGAGUGAUGAAGGUCUUCGGAUCGUAAAACUCUGUUAUUAGGGAAGACCAGAUGUGUAAGUAACUGUGCACAUCUUGACGGUACCUAAUCAGAAAGCCACGGCUAACUACGUG
rnacentral:rRNA from 1 species